GCGGCGACGGCGACGGCGACGAUCGAGUUUCCUUGCUGUCUCGAAACGGAUUGCGGUAUGGAUUCUGUGUUUAAUCCCAUUAAAAACAUUGACGAUUGAGCUUCCUCAUGGUUUAUGAAACGGAUUGCGUCGGUAAGGCGGUGAGCUUUUUGGUAUAAAUAUGUCAGCAUUUCUCUUCUGAAAAUCGUGUUCUCUUCAUUCAUCUUCUAUUCAUAAGGCGUGGGAAGGUUUCACGACGGCCUCAAACGCUGAUCUGAUCGCUGAGCAGCAGAUUUGGGCUGCGGUUGAUCCUUAUGCCAAGAACGAAUGUUGUUUUGUCUUCUGUUAUUGUUGUUUCAGAAUGAAUGUUGUAUGCCGCCAGAAAUUAUAAACCAUUUGAUUCUUGAUUUUCUCAAUACAUGCUAGAUUGAAGCCUGUGUGUCUGUAUAUUUUUGUUCUAACUUUCCUAAAGAGUUUCUGAUUCAGAAAAUGAAGACUUUAAAGAGUACAAGGAGCAUGCUGAUAAUUUCAUGAAGAGUACCAACCUUCUCCAAGACGAGAUUUAAACACCUUCUAGCUUCUUUAUAAGCAUCUAUCUCCUCUCGGUGGGCAUCCAUGACCAAAUCUGCAGAUGCUACUCAAACGCUGAACUUAGAUUGAACUCACGCUGAAAUCAUUCCACAGUCGUACAUAUACGUGCAUGUCGCAGAUAUACAGACUCUCCAAUGAGACUAGAGCUUAACAUUUCUAUACCAGGAUCUAUGCAGAGCAUAUAACCCAAGUAGAUAUAAGAGAGAUUGAAAGAUAGAAAAUUACUUAACUAGCUGAAACUUGAUUCUUGGCUGAAGUUUUUUGGUUAAUUGUGGCUAAAUGCUUAGAUGAACUUUCUAAUUAUUAUCAUUUUUUUCUGAAACUUAUGGGUUCUAAAUCACGGUUACAUUUCAGGCUUGGAAGAUUGGGUACAUAUAAGUCCGAGAAGCUAAGAACUAUGGACCUACUUAACAUGUGAUCUACUUUUAUGCAACACAACAAGUUGAACAUCAGAGUGGUUUGGAACAACUUUUGCAUUAUGUGGUUUUUUUUUAUCAGCGUAUUAUGUGGUUUUAUGUUUUAAUAUUUUUGGUUCAAGAUGAAGUUUCAGUAAACUACUAAUAAAUUAAUACUCUGUAGAAUU